UUCUUUUUUUUUUGUAUUCAUCUCGGUAUCUGAAUUUUCUGAUUCACGUUGAGAGACUCAUAAUAUUAAACAAGAUAUGAAUAUAUUGUAAAGGCCACUUGAGUUUAUCAAACAAGGUCUGUUAUCUUAAUUGCUUUGAGAUAAUGAUUAUUGUAUUUCUGCGUCGAUAAAACGUUUGUCUACGUGAUUAAUAAUUAUACUUUUUCAUUAUGAUUUCAUUAUUAUUCCGCCUAUUUCUUUUUUUGAUUAUUGCGUUCAAUCUUCCUAAUUCGUACAGUUCAAAGUAGUGGAACAAUUGUGAAUGAAACAGUAUUCAUUUCUAUAAUACUCAAGAGUCAACGGAUUAUCCUUAUAAUUUGUUUUAUACACAUAUAAUAGGUUCUCUGUUGCGUUUUACUUUUCCAAGCAUAUAUCUAACACAUGCGAUAACAAUGUUAUACAAAUUUUGCGUGGCCAAGUAUACACGAAACACAAUCUGAUAAGGGAUCUAUCUUAAUCUAUAACGUUUUAUAUUAAACGUGUAUCAGUAUUUUAAAAAUCACAAAAUAUAUGGACAAAGAACCAAAUGAGCAUUUGGGACCGUCAGUCUGAAGGCAAUCUCAAGUAAGUGUAAGUACUUGAGCUAUGAAGGCGGACGCAGGUCCCAAAGACAAAUUUAAGCCUAAACCAAGAUACGUUUAUCGGAUAUCGUGUACGGAGAUAGCAUAAAGUGGGAUAUAGCGACGAUAAUACAAAGUAACGCAGACGGCUUAUGCCACAACCAGUUCAUGGACAUGGAAGGCCAUGACCAUUACCGUGAAUAUCCAAACACCGUUUAAUUUUUUG